UCCAGAGCAGUCGCGCCCUAGGCACAAGUAUCAAGGCAGCCGCUUCACGGGGUGAAGUAUUCGAUUAGUUAAAAAGCGAUCCGGAAGGAUCACUGCCUGUACGCGCUGAGCAGAGUGCAGAGCGUCAGCAGGUGGGGAACAGUCUUCACCGCUACUCCAGGAAGGAAAGGCUACCAAAAUACCGGGUUGCUCAAGGUGUUAACAGCUUACUUGAAGGGAGGUUUGAAAAAGGAAAGGCCCAAGUUCAUCUACACAUCUCCUCCUCUGGGAUACCAGAAGAACUCUUUCUGACAAGGAAAUACAAAACAAAAUCUGCUUGUUGGCACAAACAAUAGUAAAGCUACAUCAAUAAAAGAGGCUAGCAUCAGAAAUAGUUUGAUUAAAAAAAAAAACACACCAAAACCAAGAAAAUCCAGCAGGUCCCCAGGAAGCUAUGCACUCUUGGGAGACUAAGCACCUUAUUUUAACUUUACUCUGAAUUGAAUAUCUAAUCAAAACAAGCAAGGCUACAGCAUUUUCAAGUUGCCUUUAGCACAUAAACUUUCAUUUAAGUCUAAAUCAGCAUCAGGCUCCACAGCAAAACCUCAAUGACAGCUUACUUGUACUUCAAACAAUUUCAAAGUCUCUUCAAAGUUCAGAGUGGUUCUUUCAGUACUGGAAUAAUUGUAAUAAGUAACAGAAUACAGAUUACAGUGAUUGCUUUGUUAAUUGUAUUUCAGGUAAUAAAAUAUCCACUGCAUCCUGCUCAAAGCAGCAUUUAUUAAAGAUAGUAUCAAGAUAAGUCAAUGCAUAAUGAAGCUUUCCCUCCUACAAAUAUGUAAACAAGUUGACAGCAAGUUAUUAUUACAAUAUAAAAAUUAAAGCUUACAAUGCAUUUUCGUAAAGCUACUAACUUUAAUGUAGACAGUCUCUGGUCUGUAGCAUUUAAAAAUAUGAGUUCUUGAAAAAUGUUAAAGUAUCACCUUUGCACAUACAUAUUUUCAUAGAAAAAUACUUAAAAGACCAACUUCCCAUUAAUAAAAGCCACACCAAAAAUAAAGCACAUCUUUUGUCAUGAACAGCGUGUUAAAUGCAUCUAGCAUUUACUCCACCGGUCUGUUUAAC